rnacentral:rRNA from 1 species
UACGUAGGGGGCUAGCGUUGUCCGGAAUCAUUGGGCGUAAAGCGCGUGUAGGCGGUCCGGUAAGUCCGCUGUGAAAGUCGAGGGCUCAACCCUCGAAUGCCGGUGGAUACUGUCGGGCUAGAGUGCGGAAGAGGCGAGUGGAAUUCCUGGUGUAGCGGUGAAAUGCGCAGAUAUCAGGAGGAACACCAGUGGCGAAGGCGGCAUCCUGGACCGGUAUUGACGCUGAGGCGCGAAAGCUAGGGUAGCAAACAGG